ACAUGCCUACAACAUAGCAUCAAUGCACCAAAUCCCAUUAGAAAUCCACAAUUAAGCGCGCUCAGGCUAGAGUAGUACUAGGAUGGGUGACCGCCCAGGAAGUCCUAGUGUUUUACAUGCC
rnacentral:rRNA from 1 species